ensembl:lncRNA
CACUGUGGUUGUUGUGAGACCAGCGGUGGUUGUUGUGGGAGCAGCUGUGGUUGUUGUUGGAGCAGCUGUGGUUGUUGUUAGAGCAGCUGUGGUUGUUGUUGGAGCAGCUGUUGUUGUUAUGAGGGAACCUGUGGUUGUUGUGGGGGCAGCUGUGGUUGUUGUUAGAGCAGCUGUGGUUGUUGUUAGAGCAGCUGUGGUUGUUGUUGGAGCAGCUGUUGUUGUUGGAGCAGCUGUGGUUGUUGUUGGACCAGCUGUGGUUGUUGUGAGACCAGCUGUGGUUGUUGUGGGAGCAACUGUGGUUGUUGUGGGAGCAACUGUGGUUGUUGUUGGAGCAGCUGUGGUUGUUGUUGGAGCAGCUGUGGUUGUUGUAAGAGCAGCUAUGGUUGUUAUUGGAGCAGCUGUGGUUGUUGUUGGAGUAGUUAUGGUCGUUGUAGGAAUAGCUGUGGUAGUUGUGGGAGCAGCUCUGGUAGUUGUGGGAGCAGCUGUGGUUGUUGUUGGACCAGCUGUGGUUGUUGUGAGACCAGCUGUGGUUGUUGUGGGAGCAACUGUGGUUGUUGUGGGAGCAACUGUGGUUGUUGUGGGAGCAACUGUGGUUGUUGUGAGACCAGCUGUGGUUGUUGUGAGACCAGCUGUGGUUGUUGUGAGACCAGCUGUGGUUGUUGUGAGACCAGCUGUGGUUGUUGUUGGAGCAGCUGUGGUUGUUGUUGGAGCAGCUGUGGUUGUUGUUGGAGCAGCUGUGGUCAUUGUAAGAGCAGCUAUGGUUGUUAUUGGAGCAGCUGUGGUUGUUGUUGGAGUAGUUAUGGUCGUUGUAGGAAUAGCUGUGGUAGUUGUGGGAGCAGCUGUGGUUGUUGUGGGAGCAGCUGUGGUUGUUGUGGGAGCAACUGUUGUUGUUGUGGGAGCAAAUGUGUUUGUUGUUAGACCAGCUGUGGUUGUUAGGGGAGCAGCUGUGGUUGUUGCGGGAGCAGCUGUGGUUGUUGUGGGAGCAGCUGUGGUUGUUGUGGAAGCAACUGUGGUUGUUGUGGGAGCAACUGUGGUUGUUAUGAGACCAGUGGUGGUUGUUAGGGGAGCAGCUGUGGUUGUUGUUGGAGCAGUUAUGGUUGUUGUAGCUGCAGCUGUUGUAGUCGUAGCAGCAGCUGAGGUUGUUAUGAGGGAACCUGUGGUUGUUGUGGGGGCAGCUGUGGUUGUUGUUAGAGCAGCUGUGGUUGUUGUUAGAGCAGCUGUUGUUGUUGUUAGAGCAGCUGUGGUUGUUGUUGGAGCAGCUGUGGUUGUUGUAAGAGAAGCUAUGGUUGUUAUUGGAGCAGCUGUGGUUGUUGUUGGAGCAGUAAUGGUUGUAGUAGGUACAGCUAAGGUAGUUGUGGGAGCAGCUGUGGUUGUUGUGGGAGCAGCUGUGGUUGUUGUUGGAGCAGCUGUGGUUGUUGUUGGAGCAGCUGUGGUUGUUGUAAGAGCAGCUAUGUUUGUUAUUGGAGCAGCUGUGGUUGUUGUUGGAGUAGUUAUGGUUGUUGUAGGAACAGCUAAGGUAGUUGUGGGAGCAGCUGUGGUUGUUGUGGGAGCAGCUGUGGUUGUUGUGGGAGCAGCUGUGGUUGUUGUGGGAGCAACUGUGGUUGUUGUGGGAGCAACUGUGGUUGUUGUGGGAGCAACUGUGGUUGUUGUGAGACCAGCUGUGGUUGUUGUUGGAGCAACUGUGGUUGUUGUAAGACCAGCUGUGGUUGUUGUUGGACCAGCUGUGGUUGUUGUUGGAGCAGCUGUGGUUGUUGUAAGAGCAGCUGUGGUUGUUGUAAGAGCAGCUGUGGUUGUUGUUGGAGCAGCUGUGGUUGUUGUUGGAGUAGUUAUGGUUGUUGUAGGAACAGCUAAGGUAGUUGUGGGAGCAGCUGUGGUUGUUGUGGGAGCAGCUGUGGUAGUUGUGGGAGCAACUGUGGUUGUUAUGAGACCAGUGGUGGUUGUUAGGGGAGCAGCUGUGGUUGUUGUUGGAGCAGUUAUGGUUGUUGUAGCUGCAGCUGUUGUCGUCGUAGCAGCAGCUGAGGUUGUUAUGAGGGAACCUGUGGUUGUUUUGGGGGCAGUUGUGGUUGUUGUUAGAGCAGCUGUGGUUGUUGUUAGAGCAGCUGUGGUUGUUGUUAGAGCAGCUGUGGUUGUUGUUGGAGCAGCUGUGGUUGUUGUAAGAGCAGCUAUGGUUGUUAUUGGAGCAGCUGUGGUUGUUGUAUUAGCAGCUAUGGUUGUUAUUGGAGCAGCUGUGGUUGUUGUUGGAGUAGUUAUGGUUGUUGUAGGAACAGCUAAGGUAGUUGUGGGAGCAGCUGUGGUUGUUGUGGGAGCAGCUGUGGUUGUUGUGGGAGCAGCUGUGGUUGUUGUGGGAGCAGCUGUGGUUGUUGUGGUAGCAACUGUGGUUGUUGUGAGACCAGCUGUGGUUGUUGUUGGAGCAACAGCUACCAGCUGUGGUUGUUGUUGGAGCAGCUGUGGUUGUUGUUGGAGCAGCUGUGGUUGUUGUAAGAGCAGCUGUGGUUGUUGUAAGAGCAGCUGUGGUUGUUGUUGGAGCAGCUGUGGUUGUUGUUGGAGUAGUUAUGGUUGUUGUAGGAACAGCUAAGGUAGUUGUGGGAGCAGCUGUGGUUGUUGUGGGAGCAGCUGUGGUUGUUGUGGGAGCAGCUGUGGUAGUUGUGGGAGCAACUGUGGUUGUAAUGAGACCAGUGGUGGUUGUUAGGGGAGCAGCUGUGGUUGUUGUUGGAGCAGUUAUGGUUGUUGUAGCUGCAGCUGUUGUCGUCGUAGCAGCAGCUGAGGUUGUUAUGAGGGAACCUGUGGUUGUUGUGGGGGCAGUUGUGGUUGUUGUUAGAGCAGCUGUGGUUGUUGUUAGAGCAGCUGUGGUUGUUGUUGGAGCAGCUGUGGUUGUUGUUGGAGCAGCUGUGGUUGUUGUAAGAGCAGCUAUGGUUGUUGUUGGAG